rnacentral:tRNA from 1 species
GCCUCCAUAGCUCAGUUGGUAGAGCAGCUGACUCUUAAUCAGCGGGUCCCAGGUUCGAGCCCUGGUGGGGGUACCA